UACAGAGGUCUCGAGCGUUGUUCGGAUUCAUUGGGCGUAAAGGGUGCGUAGGUGGCGCUGUAAGUCAGGUGUGAAAUUUCGGAGCUUAACUCCGAAACUGCAUUUGAUACUGGCGUGCUUGAGGACUGGAGAGGAGACUGGAAUUUACGGUGUAGCAGUGAAAUGCGUAGAUAUCGUAAGGAAGACCAGUGGCGAAGGCGGGUCUCUGGACAGUUCCUGACACUGAGACACGAAGGCCAGGGGAGCAAACGGG
rnacentral:rRNA from 1 species